GGUUGUGACAUCUGUCACCGUUGUGACAUCUGUCACCCCAUUGAUCACCAGGGCCGAUUUAGGCUGAUCUGGCUGACUAGACUAGUGUCUCCCUCCCUCAUGGCUCCAUUUGUAUCUCUCCUGAAGGUACACAGUCCUCAAAGGGAUGACCAUCCCCAAGUAGAGAAGGCAGGCCAGGUCUGGUUAAGGGUUUAUAAUAGCUGCACUCCCCUGCUAGACCCUCAAACAGUUCUCAGGAAUGCAUUAACCUUUCAGAGACAUCUUGAGCUCA
rnacentral:sRNA from 14 species